rnacentral:tRNA from 1 species
ACUUAGUUAGUUUAAAAGAAUUUUGAUUUGUGGAAUCAAGGGUGUAGAAUAUACACUAAGUU